UUCGCAAUGCCCGAAAGGGUGACGAAGCGACGCCGCGUGUGGGAAGAAGGCCUUCGGGUUGUAAACCACUGUCGGGAGUUAAGAAAUGCAAGAAUGUUAAUAGCGUUUUUGCUUGACUAAGGCUCCGGAGGAAGCCACGGCUAACUCUGUGCCAGCAGCCGCGGUAAUACAGAGGCGGCAAGCGUUGUUCGGAAUUAUUGGGCGUAAAGAGCACGUAGGCGGCUGUAUAAGUCGGUUGUGAAAGCCUUCCGCUCAACGGGAGAACAGCAUCCGAUACUGUAUGGCUUGAGUGUGGGAGGGGAGAGCGGAACUUCUGGUGGAGCGGUGAAAUGCGUAGAUAUCAGAAGGAACGCCGGCGGCGAAAGCGGCUCUCUGGCCCAUAACUGACGCUGAGUGUGCGAAAGCUAGGGGAGCAAACGGGAUUAGAUACCCCGGUAGUCCUAGCCGUAAACGAUGGGCACUAAGUAGAGGGGUUUU
rnacentral:rRNA from 1 species